CGCCCUUCAGAGGGGGACAACAGUUGGAAACGACUGCUAAUACCGCAUACGAUCCAAUCUCGGCAUCGAGACUGGAUGAAAGGUGGCCUCUAUUUAUAAGCUAUCACUGAAGGAGGGGAUUGCGUCUGAUUAGCUAGUUGGAGGGGUAACGGCCCACCAAGGCGAUGAUCAGUAGCCGGUCUGAGAGGAUGAACGGCCACAUUGGAACUGAGACACGGUCCAA
rnacentral:rRNA from 1 species